rnacentral:lncRNA from 1 species
UGUCGCUUGGGGGAUACAGCUGGUAUGUUGGUCGUUUCCUGUCGGGAUCCUCCUGAGAUGGUGUUGGCGGAAUCCAUCGGAGGCCGAUCAUCCGGCCACUCCAUGCUGGCAACCAUAGUCGGAGAAUGCGGGGCCUGGGAAACCAAGGGUCUGGGAUAUGGUUGCGGAGGCUGCGGUAGCUGUGCGGAUGCUUCGCGAGAAGGCAUCAGGCGAGGAUCCCAUGGGGGAAAGAAGGAGUGGGUGCCGGAGGAGAUGAUUGGAGGCGGCUCCGUUGAGCGCUCCUUUAAGAACAAGGGUACUGCGAAGACACAGCCCCCCUUCCUCUAG